rfam:Salmo salar isolate Sally breed double haploid chromosome ssa06, whole genome shotgun sequence.
UCCAUUCACUACUGUAAGUUGCUCUGGAUAAGAGUGUCUGCUAAAUGACUAAAA